AUUAACUAUAUCCACUGGCCACUGCACAGAUCAGCGCUUUGUUUGAAGUAUCAGGAGUUUAUCAAAUAUUAGAACAAGGGAGGUGGCUACUGGAGGAGGGUAUCAUGGCCUCGAUUCAUUGUUUACAGUUGACUGAAAACAACAACAACAACAACAAAGACAACUCUUCCCAAAUCUCCAAAAACACAAAAGAAAUGAGCAGCAGUCUUGAAAUAACACAGGGUUGACUUGCAAAAGUGUUUUCCUACACAACUGGAUUAUGAGCAACGAGAGUUACUUCAGCUGAAGUCAGAGAUGAGAAAAAAUAAUGAAUAUGUAAAACGAAUUGAGUCCACACUCAGCAGGUUUGCUGAUACAAAGCUGGAUGGAGUGACUGACACAUUAAAAGGCUGUGCUGUGAUUCAGCAACAUUUGGACAAGCUGAAGUGUUGAGUAGAGAGGAACCUGAUGAAGUUCAACAAGAGGAAGUGUAUAGUCCAACACCUGGGGAGAAAUAAACACAUGCAUCAUAUAUGCCUUAUUGCAGUGUGCCCUUGUGGCCUAGAAUGCCAAAGGUAUCCUGGAGUGCACUUAAAAGAGCAUGGCCAGCAGGUCGAGGGAAGUGAUCUUCCUCAUCUACUCUGUCCUGAUGAAGCCACAUCUGGAAUACUGCAUCCACUUCUGGCCUCUUCAGUUCAAAAAAGACUGGAACCUUCUAGCAAGAGUCCAGCAAAGGGCCACAAAGAUAGAUAGGGGCCUGGAACAUUUCUCAUAUAAGGAAAAGCUGAGACACUUGGGACUGUUCAACUUGGAGAAAACUGAGAAAGGAUCUCAUAACUGCUUAUCUAAAGUGCAGGAGCCAAGUAGAGAGGAAAAGAUUCUUCUUUGUGACGUGCAGCAACUGGACAAGGGGUAACAGGUAGAAACUGAAAAUCCCAUAAAAGCAAUAGGAAGAACUGCCUUAUUGUGAGAGUGACAUAGCAAUGGAACAAGCUGCUCAGAGUGGUUGUAGAGAGUCCUUUUCUGGAGACAGUCAAGACCUGUCUGAAUGCUUUCCUUGAGAUCUAUUCUAGGAAACUUGCUUUAGUAGGGGUGUUGGACUCAAUGAUCUCUUAGGGGUCCCUUCCAACCCCUACAAUUCUGUGAUUCUGUGAUACAAAGUGGAUAGCGUACUGGAAGAUAACAUGGACAGUCAGUCACAUUUUAAAAGACAAUAAAUAUUGGCUCUCCAAGUCCAUAGGAAGCAUACAGUUGCAAUAUUACUACAAAUAUUAACAAGGUCAGGUCAUAGUUUAAUGAUUUUGAGAGUAAAGGUAUUUUAAUUCUGAAAUUUCCUGUAAAUCUAAAGUAUGCAACUGCUUAUGCAAUUUAAAAGCUAAACCAGAAGUAUUAUUUACACAAUACAGUCUUUUUCAUGACUCUAAACAAAAUGAGCAAACUCCUGCAAUAACUCCUCAAUUUUAUUAGACAUUCAACUACUAAAACAUACAGGCCCUUAUAUAUUGUGAGUGGUUUUUUUAAUAACACUCAAAAAUCUAGCAAUUUUUUUUUCCCCUUACUCUCUAAUAUGGCUUUGAAAAAAAGUUCAGUCCACAAGAUUUUUGUUUUUCAUAAUGUUAAUAGCUGCAGAGCUGACAUGUGAAUAGUACAGAGUACUUUAACUUAGUAGACAAAGCUACAUAAUGAGCUCCUUUGACUGGAAAUAGAAAUCAGCAAAAAAUGAAACAAUAGUUAAUCUGUUGGCACAGAUGAUAGGUGGAUCAUCUGACAGUCAGAAGUUUAAAUCAUGAGUAGAACUCCUUCUUUAGUUAUUUGCUGUUAUUUGGCUACACAGUUCAUACUAGAAUCUUUAGAAGAUAUGAGGAUGAUCCAACAAGAUUAUAAUUUUUACAUGAAAAUAAAGAUCCAGUUUGGUCUUCAUGAACCACAUCUAGGUAAAGAAAAUGAGUUGUUGUAAAGUAAUUUACUUAGUAAAGAAUGAUUUUCAAUGAGAGCAGAAAUUGGAUAAAGUUCUAUUUGUGCUAGAUUAAGACUUUUUGUUAGAUUUUUUUUUUUUUGUCAGAAAAUUAUGUAUUUGAUAAAACUGAAAACUUCUUGACAGAUUUUUACUAUCUGGGAUGUACAUUAAUUUGUAACAAUGUAAAGGAAAAUUGGAAGUAUUUCUGAUGAUAAAAAAAAAUCUUUUCUUUCAUAAAGAUUGUCUUUUUUUUAUUUUUGUUUUCUUAUCAUGCUUUUUAUAGUCUUUCCUCUAGCAUAUACUGGCAUCUCAAGUCCAGGACAGCUUCACAAAUUCCAAUUUUUCAUUUCUUUCAUACUUUCUUGUUUUAUUAAAGUGCUACAGUUCAAAGGUUGUAGAAGGAAGUCAAAAAACAUUGCUCAUGAAGUUCAUGUGAGGUCAGGCAA